CUACGGGGGGCAGCAGUGAGGAAUAUUGCACAAUGGGGGGAACCCUGACGCAGCAACGCCGCGUGGAGGAUGACGCAUUUCGGUGUGUAAACUCCUUUUAUAUGUCAAGAAAAUGACGGUAGCAUAUGAAUAAGCACCGGCUAACUCCGUGCCAGCAGCCGCGGUAAUACGGAGGGUGCAAGCGUUACUCGGAGUCACUGGGCGUAAAGGACGCGUAGGCGGGUUGGAAAGUCAGGUGUGAAAUCCUACAGCUUAACUGUAGAACUGCACUUGAAACUUCUAAUCUAGAGUAUGGGAGGGGGAGAUGGAAUUAGUGGUGUAGGGGUAAAAUCCGUAGAUAUCACUAGGAAUACCUAAAGCGAAGGCGAUCUCCCGGAACAUUACUGACGCUAAGGCGUGAAAGCGUGGGGAGCAAACAGGAUUGGAUACCCGCGUAGUC
rnacentral:rRNA from 1 species